CUGUUUCCACUGACCUUGAACAAUUCACUGCUGUUCUUUUGGCUUACACUAGGAUGUGAAAGAAAAAUCCCUGUGUGUGGGCCCAACCCUGUGGAAAUACAAGU
rnacentral:snoRNA from 1 species